GCUCUCUUUUGCAUGAUAUUUCUUUUUCUCCAUUGUAUGCGCAUUAUUUCUUUUCUUUCUCAUUGGAUUGCAUGAUUUUUUUUCGAAAUCUUCCAACCCCCUCCCCCUCAAAAAUCAAAUGGUCCGCCCCUUAGGCUCUUAGCUGCUGUUUAAAAUGCUAUUCAGAAUCAAUUAGAAGCGAACAGACCAAUCGUCAAACAGACAUUCUGUG